rnacentral:rRNA from 1 species
CAGCAGCCGCGGGAAUACGAAGGGGGCUAGCGUUGUUCGGAUUUACUGGGCGUAAAGCGCACGUAGGCGGACUUUUAAGUCAGGGGUGAAAUCCCGGGGCUCAACCCCGGAACUGCCUUUGAUACUGGAAGUCUUGAGUAUGGUAGAGGUGAGUGGAAUUCCGAGUGUAGAGGUGAAAUUCGUAGAUAUUCGGAGGAACACCAGUGGCGAAGGCGGCUCACUGGACCAUUACUGACGCUGAGGUGCGAAAGCGUGGGGAGCAAACAGGAUUAGAGACCCCGGUAGUCCCUGUCUCUUAUAC